AUGCAUUUGAGAAAUGUAUGAACGCUAGCAUCCUUGCUCCAAAGAAGUUGAACCUCACCAAUUUUGCCAUGGAAUCCCUCGAAUCAGACUCAAGGAAGAAGCAGCUGUGCGGGGUUCGAAUUCUGUAUAGCCUUGUGAACAGAGAGCCCUAUGACAAACAAGUCCUGUCAAAAGUCACAACUCCAUGAAGACGGUCACCACACUGAUCCAAAUGCUGGGAUGGACUAACCAAGAAGACAAUCAAAUUAGAUUGCUUGCCGCGAAGAUUACAGCUGAGCUUGCUAGAGGUCUCCAGAUUGUCACAAUCCCUGGUGCAAUGAACUCCAUAUCAUCACUUCUGGACAACCAGAACAAACAGCAGAUACAGGAACUCAUAAUUCAGAAAGACAGUGGUGGUGAGGAGAAUUGCUGGAUACUCAAACUUUGGCAUCAGAUGACUAAAAAGUGGUCCAUUCUAGAGGAGGAGCAGUGGACAGAAACUGAUGUUUUCCUGGUACUUGGCCUUGUAACUCUUGAGAGGCUAGCUACAUAUGAUAUUGUCAACUGCAUGGAGAUCAGCAGAUCAAUGGACCUCAUCCCAAAGAUCACAGAGUUCACGAGUAACAACAGUGAGAGAAUAUGUGUCAAUGAGACAAGUCAGAAAAUACUGAUUGAUUUGUCAUUGAAGGUGCUGAGAAGACUGGCAAGCAUUGGUGGGGAAACUGGUAUAACAUUGAGGCACAAGAUAUCAGAAGAUCCCUUCCUACUUGGCAACCUUGCUGAGAUUUUGGAGGAUAGCAAGAGCAGUCAGGAACUGAGGAAGUUGACAAUAGAUAUCCUUAUAAAACUUGCCAUGGAUGAGACUACAAAGAGAGAGAUUGGGAGCAUCCAGGUGAUUGUUCAGAUGUUGAUGUUUGCAUUCACUGCGCAAGAUGAUCUGCCAGGUGCAUAUUCUGACUGCUCGAUGACAAUGAAAGCAGGACAAGCAUUGUCAAUGCUAACACUAGAAAGUGCAGACAACUGCUCAGCUAUCAUGAAGGAACCUGGGCAUAGAUUCUUUAAGGAUGUGGCAAGAAUGCUAGUGCAUGACAACAGGUACAUACAUGUUGCAGCAAAUGUACUGCAAAACCUGUGCAAACACUCUAGAGUUGAGCUAGGAGAUUCAGUUUUGGUGGAACUUUCCAGUGUCCUACUAGAGGUGAGAUCUCCACCUAUGUAUGAUAAUAUUUGGCAUAUUUUUUUUAAAAAAAAACAAUGAGAAGCACAGGAGGGCUUUGGCCCCAUUCUAAACUACAACUUUCUCGUCUUCCGUUAGCACGCUUCCCAAAUUGUUAAACGGUGUGUCUUUUGUACAAGAUUUCUAUAUAAAAGUUUCUUAAAUAAAUUAAAUAAAUCCAAUUUUCAAGCUUGCAAUAAUUAAUACUUGACUAAUCAUGCGUUAUUGACUUGUCUCGAUUCGCAUGCCGCAAAAAAAGGUUGUCCCAAACAUAUUUUGUAUGAAGAAGGGGCUGAGAAACCAAAAUUUUAGCUUCUUAUUUAGGAUAUCUGUUUUCACCAGAUAUUUGAUUCUAGAGUCUAACUUACAUGAUGCUGCGUUAUACCGUCUACAGGUGUUGGGACAAGUAAUGGAUGCAGAGGGAAAAGAACUCGAGGUCCUUGUUGGCCUCAGUUCACAAAUAUGCAGGGUUAGUCCUAAAAGCUUUUCAAAAGCGCUAGAACAGGGUCAGAAGGAGGCAAGAUUCGUGGAGAAGCUAAUCAAUGGACUAAAUGCGAAUAUGAAACCCAAUCCACAGUUUCCAGGAAUCAGAAGUGUGAUAGUUGAGCAGUGUAUAUACAUGAUGGAGCUGAGCUCUCGUUAUGCAACAUAUUUCAGAAAUCAUGAAUUGAUGGAAGCAUUAAUAAGGGUGGAGAAGACACCAUCAAGGGCUGAAAAAUACAGGCUUUUCUUGGGCAACACAGGGCUCAUUGAGCACAGAGUGAAUCUGUCCUCUCUUGUGGAGAGGGCAAAACAGUUGAUGGCCGUGCAUUCAACUCAACAGCCUUGAGAAUCCAAUUAGAUUUUCGAUCAUAUUUACCACUAGCCUUUGGAUCAUCCUGGUCCACUAGGAUAUCUUUGUAAUUCAAAAUACUGAUUGGCCCAGAAAACACUGGUGCUAAGCUCUGGCUAAUAAUUUAUCUGUACAGUUUAAACUUGAUCCUUUUUAAAAAAGGACUAUAGAGAAAUAAACAAAACAAACAAAUGCACAUAAAGAUUCUUAGGCGCAAAAAGGAAAAAAAAAUCAAAAUUGCAUGUUUAUUUGACAUACAUCGAGUUCAAUAUUCAACAUUUGUUUUAUUCCCCAAUCAAAGUGAUCAUGUCAAUUGAACUGUUAAGCAACUAUCCCAAAUGGUGUACUGAUAAAUACUCUAUGAUUCCUAACCUAUUUUGUUUUCUUGGACUAAAUAUCAAAUAAGGCAAGUUUGGCAUAAAUGAUCCUGUAAAUAAGUGAUGAAUAAGAGAAUAUUCUGACAUUAACACGGAUGGGUCUGUUUUUUCUAAUGGUCAGGCCGUUGCCGACGUUUUAUAUAAAAGAAGAAAGUGUCUCAUUUUAAGAAAAAAAAACAUGACAAAACCUUACAAUGCACGGUAAAUUAGGGGAAACUGCACGAAAACCACAACUCACCACCAACUAACCUAAUCAGCCAUGGCAGCGAAAAUAGGAGUUACAGUACCACUAGCACCACACAGUUCUGAUGUUCGAAGUAAAUCCUGAAGUAUACCGUAUAUAUUCAGCAGAAAAACUCAACAGUUUCUGUCGCGAGCAUGGGGGACGGUUCUUGUUGACUAUAGAAGAACGGAUAUGGCUUAUCUGGUCCCUGCAGCUAGUAUAGCAAGUUCAAUUUGAGCAGGAGUGAGUGGGUCUGUGAGUGCUUCCGUCACUGCUCGUAUGAACAAGAACAACGAUGGAAGGUGAAUGGCUGGUGCACUCACUCUAUGCUCCAUGUGAAUUUGUGAAAUUUGGGUUUUGCUGCCCGAGUGGCUGGGGCCUAGUCGCUCGCCCCCGGCAGCAUCUGAUCCCACUUCCUCUUGUGAAAAUUUUUUAUAUUCAUCGUGAGGUCCAAGUGUGCGGCGCACUAGGCAGCAAAUUAAAUUAAUCCCCCAAAAUAAUAUACUACUCCCUCCGUUUACAAUAUAAGUCAUUCUAGCAUUUCUCACAUUAAUAUUGAUGCUAAUGAAUUUAGACAUGUAUAUUUAUCUAGAUUCAUUAGCAUCAAUAUGAAUGUAUAAAAUGCUAAAAUAACUUAUAUUCUAAAACGGAGAAAUUACUAAUUUGCACCGAACUAGUACUAGAAGAGAGCAAAAGCACCGCUUAAACGGUUGAACCCUAGCUAAUAUUCGGGUGCCUUUCACACACCCCCUUAAACAAAAUCGCCAAAAAUGCUUUUCAUGAUGUAUGAGGAAACCUAAGAUUUCGAGGUUGGGAAAAACCAAAUCCGCAGGAGCGGACGGGGAAUCGAGACCUAAUCUCCCCCGCGGAUCUAGGCCCCAAGCAUUUGGGCGCGGCGCGGCAAAAUUAAUACCGAAUCGAAUCGAAUUUUUUUUCGAUCGAAACCGCGAUCGAGAGGAAAAAAAAAAGGAAUGCAUCGGAGGAACACGGAAGGGAAGCAAUCGACUCACCGUGCUCCUUGCAGAGGCCAGAGCGGGGGCUCUGCGACCUGCGAGCGGUCACAUCGCAGAGAUCAUGGAGACACAGUGAAACUAAAGGCAGCCCGUCUCUCUCACAGUCUCACUCUUUAGCAAAUUUUACCAAAACGUCCAUGUGCUCUGC
rnacentral:lncRNA from 1 species